UAGGAUUUCAAUCUGGAGGGGCACUCAUCUUCCAGAAAAGUACAAGGUUGGCUUAAACUUCUACCACAUACUGAAGCAUCACAAAGCAGCUUCUCAACAGAAAUCUGUGUAAUAAAUGAAAAUGAGAGCCAUGCAGUUAUCUGACCUGCUAUGAAUAUCAUUCAGCUAGUUGGUUGUUCUGUCUUCAGAAUCACAGAACAAAUGAAUGGUUAAGGUUGGAAGGAACCACUUGUGAUCAUCUAGUCCAACUUCUGUGCUUCUUGAAGCACAUUCCCCAGGAUCACUUCCAGGCAACUGUCCACAGUGGAGAAGUAUCAGUGGGAAUGUCAGAGCUAUGAGGAAGAUGCUUCAUCUGUUAGGGUCUCUGAUUCAUGUCACUGAUGUUGUGACCUAGAAGUCCCAGUGGAGAGCAGGAACCCGUAAGCAAGUAAGUUUUUUACAGAAAACUGGGAGAUUGUCCACAGAACAUAUCAGUGUUGUUAACUAAGUAGAUAAAUGAGAGCAGGAUGUUGUGCAGUCUCAAACAAAGUGG
ensembl:lncRNA